GAUGAAGAACGUAGCGAAAUGCGAUAAGUAAUGUGAAUUGCAGAAUUCAGUGAAUCAUCGAAUCUUUGAACGCACAUUGCGCCCCCUGGUAUUCCGGGGGGCAUGCCUGUCCGAGCGUCAUUACAACCCUCAAGCCCAGCUUGGUGUUGGGCCCCGCCGCCCCGGCGGGCCCUAAAGUCAGUGGCGGUGCCGUCCGGCUCCGAGCGUAGUAAUUCUUCUCGCUCUGGAGGUCCGGUCGUGUGCUCGCCAGCAACCCCCAAUUUUUUUCAGGUUGACCUCGGAUCAGGUAGGGAUACCCGCUGAACUUAAGCAUAUCAAUAAGCGGAGGA
rnacentral:misc_RNA from 1 species